GUGCUGUUCCCAACUGUAUUGCAUACACAAGUUCAUCUUCCUUCAAGUUGCAAAAAAGUGAAACAUUGUUACUUUGCAAGUUCCGAUUAUACUCAUCGGCGUCGUUUCACGUCCCUUCAAAAACCUCCGUGUGCGACGGCGGCGCUUCACUCACCGUUCUCGUAUCUGACCUCCCAAACCCGCUCUCUCCUUUCCCCCUAACCUCUUACUCAGAGGAAAGAGGGGGAACUCACUCAAACUCCUCACAGAUCGAUAAUGAAUUUAGGGUUUUCUCGCUCAUACCCAUCU